UCGCUCUGUAAUGAAGCACAUGGGAUUUGU
rnacentral:piRNA from 1 species